rnacentral:piRNA from 1 species
UGCAGCAUAAGGGACAGAGCCACACGUAA